AGUGAGCGGCCUGUUGUCCCUGUUUUGUUAUCCCAGGGUAGAGAGACAUGAAAGUGGAGAUCUCGAGAAAGAACAAGAUAUAAAAUUGUCAUCACAGGAAAUUGCAGUAUACCUUAGAUACCUUUGUUUGUUUACUUCAAUUGCGGUCCUAAUUUAGUUUUUGUUUCUAGAUUUUUUUCUCUUUGAAUAUUUAGCUCCACCAUUUCUGCUCUAGUGAACGAGUAAAACUUGAAGAAAACACAUCGACCAAAGCUUCAGUUCCUUUUUGAGAAGAUGUAUGUCAGCUCUUACCUAGCUGCUAGCAAGCUAAACACAAAGAAUAAGAUUCAUAACUUGUGUUUUAGGCUUCAAGAUCAAGUUGCAGCUCCUGUGUUGACUGACUGCAGGGCUGAUAUCAACCUCUGUGACACCAUGAUACCUGUU